GCCAGUGUGAUGUAGUGGCUUGGGCAUUGGACUAGGACUCUGGAGACCAGGGUUCAGAUCCCAGCUCUGCCA
rnacentral:tRNA from 1 species